AGAUUGAACGCUGGCGGCAGGCCUAACACAUGCAAGUCGAGCGGUAGAGAGGUGCUUGCAUCUCUUGAGAGCGGCGGACGGGUGAGUAAUGCCUAGGAAUCUGCCUAGUGGUGGGGGAUAACGUUCGGAAACGGACGCCAAUACCGCAUACGUCCUACGGGAGAAAGCGGGGGACCUUCGGGCCUCGCGCCAUUAGAUGAGCCUAGGUCGGAUUAGCUAGUUGGUGAGGUAAUGGCUCACCAAGGCGACGAUCCGUAACUGGUCUGAGAGGAUGAUCAGUCACACUGGAACUGAGACACGGUCCAGACUCCUACGGGAGCAGCAGUGGGGAAUAGUUGGACAAAGUGGGGACGAAAGCC
rnacentral:rRNA from 1 species